rfam:Populus trichocarpa scaffold_5_contig_144, whole genome shotgun sequence.
AUACCUUUCUCGGCCUUUUGGCUAAGAUCAAGUGUAGUAUCUGUUCUUAUCAGUUUAAUAUCUGAUACGUGGGCCAAUGGCUCACACGAUAUUAAAUUUAUUUUUUUAGGGGGAGGGUCCAUAACAGUAGCUUGCUACUGGGGCUGUCGAUCGUCGCCUUUGCGCUGCACUAAAGCAAUGGCCUGGCGCACCCCAC